UUGGAGGGCAAGUCUGGUGCCAGCAGCCGCGGUAAUUCCAGCUCCAAUAGCGUAUAUUAAAGUUGUUGCAGUUAAAAAGCUCGUAGUUGAAUUUCGGGGUCAGUAGGUUGGUCAUGCCACUGGUAUGUACUGGUCUCACUGAUUCCUCCUUCCUGAUGAGCCGUAAUGCCAUUAAUUUGGUGUUGCGGGGAAUUUGGACUGUUACUUUGAAAAAUUAGAGUGUUUAAAGCAGGCUCACGCUUGAAUACAUUAAUGGAAUAAUGAAAUAGGACGUUCGAUCCUAUUUUGUUGGUUUCUAGGAUUGACGUAAUGAUUAAUAGGGAUAGUUGGGGGCAUUAGUAUUCAAUUGUCAGAGGUGAAAUUCUUGGAUUUAUUGAAGACUAACUACUGCGAAAGCAUUUGCCAAGGAUGUUUUCAUUAAUCAAGAAUAAAAGUUAGGGGAUCGAAGACGAUCAGAUACCGUCGUAGUCUUAACCAUAAACUAUGCCGACUAGGGAUCGGAUGAUGUUAAUUUUUAAUGACUCAUUCGGCGCC
rnacentral:rRNA from 1 species